rnacentral:miRNA from 1 species
UGCCUGUGAUGGUUUGGCUGAGU